UGGGGAAUUUUGGACAAUGGGCGAAAGCCUGAUCCAGCAAUGCCGCGUGUGUGAAGAAGGCCUUCGGGUUGUAAAGCACUUUUGUCCGGAAAGAAAUCCUUGGCUCUAAUACAGUCGGGGGAUGACGGUACCGGAAGAAUAAGCACCGGCUAACUACGUGUCAGCAGCCGCGGUAAUACGUAGGGUGCAAGCGUUAAUCGGAAUUACUGGGCGUAAAGCGUGCGCAGGCGGUUUGCUAAGACCGAUGUGAAAUCCCCGGGCUCAACCUGGGAACUGCAUUGGUGACUGGCAGGCUAGAGUAUGGCAGAGGGGGGUAGAAUUCCACGUGUAGCAGUGAAAUGCGUAGAGAUGUGGAGGAAUACCGAUGGCGAAGGCAGCCCCCUGGGCCAAUACUGACGCUCAUGCACGAAAAGCGUGGGGGAGCAAAACAGGAUUAGAUACCCUGGUAGUCCACGCCCUAAACGAUGUCAACUAGUUGUUGGGGAUUCAUUUCCUUAGUAACGUAGCUAACGCGUGAAGUUGACCGCCUGGGGAGUACGGUCGCAAGAUUAAAACUCAAAUGAAUUGACGGGGUCAUAGCUGUUUCCU
rnacentral:rRNA from 1 species